GAUUACUGACUGAGGGCAUACAACUUCCAGGCCUGUUUCCAUAGUUCAGUUGGAAGACUGCUUGUCUAGCUAGCCCCGUCCAUCCUUCUGCACUACUGCAUACAUAAGCCAACGAUGGCAGCCCAAGCCUCAAAUCUCAGCACUCCAUAGUUUAAGAUCAUCCUUGCCUGCUUGGGGAGUUCAAGGCUAGCCUGGGCUAUAUCAAUCAGUGAGGAGUACUCUUUUCCUGCUCUCUCUCUCUCUCUCUCUCUCUCUCUCUCUCUUUACAUAUACCAUCUUUUCCUCCCUCCUCCUUCCUCCUCUUCCUUUUUCCUCUUCACCUCCCCAUCCUGAAGCGAAACUGCUGGGAUUAGAACCUGUCCUUGGCCAGCUCCCAAGCUGGCUAACAAGGUGAAGCCUGUAUUUGUAUCUGAAAACAUGGAAAUAAAGAAUAUUGACCUUGGACUGGAGAGAUGGCUCAGGGGUUAGGAGCACUGACUGCUCCUCCAGAGGACCCACAUGACAUUUAAUAACCAGCUAUAACUCCUAGGAGGAUCUAAUGUUCUCUUCUGGCUUCUACAGGUAUUACAUACAUUCACAGACAGUAUGCAUGCAGGUAAAACAUUCACAUAAACUUAAACUGACUUCAAAAAAAAUAUGAAAAGCAAAUGGGUCUAGAGGUUUUGAAAUGUCUUCAGCACAGGUUCUCCAUAAAUGUUAGUUGUGUCUAAGACAGCCUGGAGUCCAAGGGGCUAGGGGACACAGGCUGAGAAGCGGAAAAAGCUUUAAGCAUCUAAGUUUUUCCUUUGGUAGUGUUUACAAUUUGGUUUCCCUUAAUCAAUCCUAAGUGUUUGGGUGUAUUUGUUUUUCUGUUGGUGCAGAUAUUGGCAAGGCUAAUGAAAUUAAAAAAAAAAAAAGUAGUCCAUUGAAAUGAGAGUAAACUCAGAAAGGGCUCCUGCUAGCCUCCCCUCCCCGCUGUUUUUUAGGGAACAUUGUAGAGGCAAUUUCUAGGACAGAAGUGAUAAGCUUUAACUUCCCAGAAGACAAGCUGCAGAGAGACAGCUAACAGACUCGUUACUAAUUGUUUUUAAAAAACAUUCACCUAGAUAAAGAUCUUUAAAUGUGUAAAAGGUAGGGGUAGAAUUACAUGGUAUUUUGUGUUUGGGCAUAAUUAUAAUUUUUAUGUAAUAUUUCCAGAAACAGGUGCCUGUAAAAUCAUACCGAAGAACUUUAUAUGUACCAGAUUUUUAAAAGAAAUAAAAUAUUGCUAGAAGAACUUGUUCCUCAUGGAGAUAGAAUUGGUACAGAUAGCUCAGAAUGAAUAUUCUCCUCAGUACUUGAUGCUGCCGGGCCACUCGUCACUGCUCUGAGUUUGAAGCGUCAUGUUUGUUUUAAAGCCUGUUUGUGGUUGCUGUUGAGGCUGACCUCCCUUUAGUUUAGUUACAGCUCCUCUGCUUCUCCUGCCUUCCCUUCUCAAACCCUUAGCUGAGUUUUCUUCUGUGAGACUUUCUCUGUGGAUGUACACAGUUCCCUACAUCACCUUGGUAGUAACCCCUUGGCGUUUCCAUGGCUGCAGUGUUCGCCCCAUCUGUGGCUUGUAUUUUCACUGGAUUUUGUCAUAUAAAUUUGUAAUUUCUUCAUUUCAAUGGUAUGUAACUACCUUCCUGGUGGGUUUAGUUUCUGCAAUGGUUUUGGCUGUGGUGAAGUCACAUAUUCCUGUAUACAUUUUAGAAUCCUCUUAUCAAGCUCCUAAAGACCCUUUGUGAGGUUUCAGUUGUGAAGAAUUGCAUUGAAUUUGUACAUCAGUUAAUUUGUGAAGAAUUGUCAAAUUUAUAAUGCCACAGUUUUGUAUUUAUAAACAUGGUAUAUUUCUGCAUUUUUAUUUUAUGCUUUCCAAUAAAGUUUUAUAAUUUUCUACAUAAAGAUUUAAGAUUAUACUUAGCCUCAAGAAUUUUCAUGCUGUUUACACAAUUACAUUAGAUUAUAUUUUGAAUUGAGUUGUAAUUGUUUAUUGCUGUUAUAUAUAAACAACAUGUAUAGGUUUUUACCUACUGAUAAUUAUAGAAGUUGGCAGUUUUUCAAACCUUGAAUUUUUAAUAUGUAAAUUAUCCUGGUAUUUAAUGUUUAUCAUCUACAGAUGUUGAUAGUUUUAUCAUGUUUGGAAAUUACACAUUCUAAAUAUUCUCUAAUUAUAAAGUGAUCUUCAAGAAAACCUGUUUUAAAAGUAGAAAAAGUACAUUUACCUGACAUACUGACUGAUAACUGCUUCAGUACAUCACUUGUAAUGACAGAUUUGCACUGUUGUAUAUUGGUAGUUGUAGUAACGUAAACUGGUCAGAUCGAUUGGUUCUUUAUAGAGUUGAAUUAAACCGAUCACAG
rnacentral:lncRNA from 1 species